rnacentral:rRNA from 1 species
AGAGUUUGAUCCUGGCUCAGAAUGAACGCUGGCGGCGCGCCUAACACAUGCAAGUCGAACGACUCAGGGUCUUCGGACUCUGAGUAACGUGGCGGACGGGUGAGUAACGCGUGGGUAAUGUGCCCUUUGGUGGGGGAUAACCCGUGGAAGCGCGGGGGAAUACCGCAUAAGCCCGCAAGGGAUACCUUGCGGGGAAAGGCCUCGGUCGCCGAAGGAGCAGCCCGCGUCCGAUUAGCUAGUUGGUGAGGUAAGGGCUCACCAAGGCCACGAUCGGUAGCCGGUCUGAGAGGAUGAACGGCCACACUGGGACUGAGACACGGCCCAGACUCCUACGGGAGGCAGCAGUGGGGAAUUUUGGGCAAUGGGGGAAACCCUGACCCAGCGACGCCGCGUGGAGGAGGAAGGCUUUCGAGUCGUAAACUCCUGUUCUUGGGGACGAUAAUGACGGUACCCAAGGAGAAAGCCCCGGCUAACUCCGUGCC